GACGAACGCUGGCGGCGUGCUUAACACAUGCAAGUCGAACGGAAAGGCCCUGCUUUUGUUGGGUGCUCGAGUGGCGAACGGGUGAGUAACACGUGAGUAACCUGCCCUUGACUUUGGGAUAACUUCAGGAAACUGGGGCUAAUACCGGAUAGGAGCUCCUGCUGCAUGGUGGGGGUUGGAAAGUUUCGGCGGUUGGGGAUGGACUCGCGGCUUAUCAGCUUGUUGGUGGGGUAGUGGCUUACCAAGGCUUUGACGGGUAGGCGGCCUGAGAGGGUGAACGGCCACAUUGGGACUGAGAUACGGCGCAGACUCCUACGGGAGGCAGCAGUGGGGAAUAUUGCACAAUGGGCGGAAGCCUGAUGCAGCAACGCCGCGUGCGGGAUGACGGCCUUCGGGUUGUAAACCGCUUUCGCCUGUGACGAAGCGUGAGUGACGGUAAUGGGUAAAGAAGCACCGGCUAACUACGUG
rnacentral:rRNA from 1 species